rnacentral:lncRNA from 1 species
GUAAUUGCAUAAGCCAUGGCAUUGCGCCUUGCCCUAUAUUCAACUUGGUCAAUCCUUGUAACUCUAAAAGUUGAAGUACUUUGAGUUGAGGAAAUCCAUUUGCAGAUACAUGCAUUUUCUUUCCAAGAUAUGACUUAGCCCUUAAUCUGAGAGUCAACAAUUUUGGCAGCUUCUCCAAUAUAGGCAUAGGAUCACAACCUAGCCUAGAUGCUUCCAAUGUCAAUUGUGUAAGAUUUGGUGAGAAUUCAACGGUUUCAGGCAAUUUUUGCAUGUGUCCCUUUAUGUCCAACUUAGAGAGAUGGAGGCAAGAGUUUAUGGCAAAAGGUGGAAUGUUGGACUCAUCUGAUGCCUUAAGGUACAAGGAUUUAAGACUAGGUAGCUUGGCAAUGGAGUUCUGAAAACACAGCCCCUUCUACCUCACACCUUUCUUCUAAUUUCAAUUUCUCAAGACAAGUUAAGUUGCUUGAAUCAUUCUUGAUCCAUUGGUUGGAGGUUAUGCCUAAUAGAAUUUGAAGAUCUUGCAAUGUAUCAAUUUGUAGUGGAACAUCUUCCUUUUGACCCUCAAUAUAAAGAUAUCUCAUGUUUUUAAUCUUCAGUAUCACAUUUGGCACUUGUCUAAGAUUAUUUAUCUCCAAAGACUACAAACUCCUUAGGUUGCCUAUAGAUGGUGGAAGCAUUUUUAAACCAUAAUGCAUUAAUCUCAAGUACCUUAAAUGAAUUAGUGUCCCAACUAUACUAGGUAGGCUUUCAAUUUCCCAACCUUCCAAAUCUAGCACCCUAAGUACUUUGAAGCAUCUGCCAAAAUGUACUUGCAAAAAUUAUUACAAAAAAUGAAAAAAUGUGUGAAUGACUUCAAUUUUUGAAGCAUGUCCAAAAACAAUUAUUUGCCAUUAUUUGAAACUACUCAUUCAUGACGAACAAAAUUUAUAUCUGUAUUGGGAAUAGUAAUUGAUUUUCAUAUGCCCUAUACUAAAAUUUAUAAGCAAUAUCGCCAGAAAAUUAUUUAAAUUGGCACCACCAUGGUUAUUUAGAUCCCAAACCUACCAAUUUUUUUUAAAUGUAUAUAUAUAUAUAUUAUUCAAAAUUAUUAUUUAAAAAAUAAAUAUAAAAAUAGUCUUUUUAUCAUUUUUUUUUUUUUUGCAUCAAAUUUGUUUCUUUAAAACAAAUUUACUUUUUAUAUUGAUCUUGUAUUUUGAAAAAAUGAAAAAUCACUUUUACAUUAAAGUUGUUUUUUAAAAAUUUAAGUUCUUUUUUUUUACAUUGAAAAGUUUUAUACAAGAUAAGUUCACUUCUUUACUGCUGAACUUGCAUUUUAUUUUUUAUUUUUUGAAAGACAGUUCUAUUAAUGGGUUGAUUUUUAAAAAAAUUAUAUCACCUAGUGCAAAAAGCCCAAACCUACCACUUUUAAACCAAUAAGAAUAACACUUUUGCAGGCCAUGCAUAGCCAUCAAAUACAUCAUCCUAAUUGUCAGUUAAUAUACAUAUAAUUAUACAAACAAACAUCUAAUAAUCUGGUUCAACAAAUUUAAAAGCACACUGGUCUUAGUUUAAUUUAGAUACAAUAUAAAUAUUGUCCAAGCUUAGCAUGACCAUUAUUGAAAGUAGACAUUGCUAACUAUAAUACAUGAGAUUUUAAUUGCAUGGCCUUAUGUUUCCUUUCAAUGACUCCAGCAUGAAUGUAGAAGCUCCUGGCAAUUCUGCUGCAGCAUAAUCUUCAGGUUAUCGGACAUGUUUGGCAUGCUCAGAUUAUCUGUUUGCAAAGACCAAACAUACAUUAAUGAUAAUAGACAAAAAGAGAGCCAACAAGUUUUAGCAUUUCACUAGUCAUACAUGUUGUCAUUUUGGGCAUGAGGAUUUCUUCAAUAUAUAAGAAAGGUGGCUAAUUCUUCAACUGCUUGCCUAGAGCUUUCUGGUGUUUGACCUGUUGCAACACACGUCUGAGUAUCACAUGGCCAAAUUUUAGGUACCUAAACUAAACAUGAAUAUAUGUACAAAGUUGUAGCAAGGACCUCAACAUUAAUUCAUAUAUAUAUAAUGAAAAAAAAAUUGCCAAACUGGCAAUUUUCAUUUUUCUAUUGUUUUAUGUAUUUAGAGUAAAAUUGUAAGAAGUAAUAUAUGAUUGUUAAGAAACCAAAAACUAUAGGAGUAAUUAAUUUCUCUUCAAUAAAUAGAUGAAGUUAUUUAAUUUGGCAAAAAAAAAAAUUGUUUUGUUGAAUCUAAUAAUAGGUUCUGAAGUGGGGUUCAUUAGCUAAAGAAAAAUUCCAGUGAAAAGAUCUUGGGCUUCUCUCUGCCAUCAAUAAUUGUUAUGCAAAAGAACAAGGAAUAAUACUUGGCCAUGAAUUACUAGGCUGGCUUGGUAGAAAUCACAUCCAAGUAAAGGAACAAAAACAUGCAUUUAUGUAUUCACCGCACCAAUCGCCUAGGGUAAAAGUGAAUUCUAGGCCUUCAGGCUUACCUUUUUUACGGUACAAGUGAAAUCCAAUCUCAUCAUUUAUAUUGAUCCUGAAAUGAAUAGAAAAAUCAAACAAAGCAUGUUAGUGGAAUAAAAAAAAAAACAAUAAAAAGAAAAAGAAAAUCGUCCUUACAAUGUUGAAGAGAUAUAAUUUAUGUUCUUUUAACUUUCCACUGUAUAUUUAAAAUUAAAGUUCAAAUUAGUUCGAAAGUAAUGGAGUUGAGUAACCAUUAAUGUUACUACUAUUUUCCUAAUAUGGAUUGAAUAUAGAAAAAUAUUUGCAUUUGUUUUGUUUUUUCUUUUUCAAAUAUAUAUUGGUUCUAUACAUGCAUCUAAAACCUAUCAAAUGUGCAAAAGUGAUUAAAUUGAAAAACAUGUGAGAGAAAUAACAAUGCAUAGGGCUCAACGUGUCUACAAAGACAGGUGGAGUAUGGUCAUCAGGCCACUAGAUGGAUUCGUUUGAUAAAAGAAAAGGUUGCUUUCCAAAUUUAUGGAAAGAGAAAAUGUAGAAUCCUAACAUGUAUUUCAUUUUCAAGUAUGUUAUAAAUUAAAUUAAACAACAUUAAAAAAAAUGUAGCAAAAGUAAUUAUAUUGGUCUUAUAAGUUAAUUCAAGAAGUAAGUGACAAGUAGUAAAAAUUGGUAGUUCAAGGGAUCUAGAGUAAAUAGAUUAAUGUAGGUACCAUGUAAAAUCCCAAGGAAGUAGUUUGCCAGUGGAGAUAGCUAACCAGAUUUUGUGAGCCAAUUUCAUACUCAAUCAUCAAAAAUGAUAUUUAGAUCCACUAGAUUUAGGAGUCCACUAAAUCGUAAGAUUUUCACUCGUUGAUGAAUUUCUAAUUGCAUAAGCCAUGACAUUGCAUUUUGCCCUAUAUUCAACUUGGUCAAUCUUGUUAACUCUGAAAGUUGAAGUACUUUGAGUUGAGGAAACCCAUUUGCAAACACUUCCAUUUUCUUUCCAAGGUAUGAGUUUAUCCUUAAUCUAAGAAUCAACAAGUUUGGCUGCUUCUCUAAAACAGGCAUAGGAUCACAAUCUAGCCUAGAUGCUUCCAAUGUCAAUUGUGUGAGACUUGGUGAGAAUUCAACAGUUUCAAGCAAUUUUUGCAUGUGUCUCUUUAUGUCCAACUUAGAGAGAUGGAGGCAAGAGUUCAUGGCAAGGGAUGGAACGUAGGACUCAUCUGAUGCCUUGAGGUACAAGGAUUUAAGACUACAUAACUUGGCAAUGGAGUUUGAAAACUUAACCCCUUCUACCUCACACUUUCCUUAUAAUUUCAAUCUCUCAAGACAAGUUAACUUGCUUGAAUUAUUCUGGAUCCAUUGGUUGAAGGUUAUGCCUGAUAGAAUUUGAAGAUUUUGCAACGUAUCAAUUUGCAAUGGAACAUCUUCCUCUUGCCCCUCAAUGUAAAGAUGUCUCAUGUUUUUAAUCUUCCAUAUCACAUUUAGCACUUGUUUAAGAUUGUUUAUAUCCAAAGUCUGCAAACUCCUUAGGUUACCUAUAAAUGGUUGGAAGCCUUUUUAGACCAAUAUGCCUUAAUCCCAGGUACCUUAAAUGAAACAGUUCCCCAAUUAUACUUGGUAGGCAUUCAAUUUCUAAACCUUCCAAAUCUAACACUCUAAGCACUUUGCAGCAUUUGGCAAUGAAAUCUUCCAUAUCUCAUGUUUUUAAUCUUCCAAAUCAGUUCCUCUUUCCAUGUAAAGAUAUCUCAUGUUUUUUAUCUUCCAUAUCACAUUUGGCACUUGUUUAAGAUUGUUUAUAUCCAAAGUCUGCAAACUCCUUAGGUUGCCUAUAAAUGGUGGAAGCAUUUUUAGACCAGUAUGCCUUAAUCCCAGGUACCUUAAAUGAAUUAAUUUCCCAAUUAUAGUUGGCAGGCAUUCAAUUUCUAAACCUUCCAAAUCCAACACUCUAAGCACUUUGAAGCAUUUGGCAAUGAAAUCUAGUUGCGAUGCUUUACAAUUUUUCCCCAAAUUGAAAAAUAAGAGAGAGCAAAGAUAUGGAGUUAAAUUUUCAAUGGAAGCAUACCUCUCAAUGUCAGAAUAAAUACUUCGUCAACGGGAUUUAGAUGAAAAGAGAGAUAAACUUAUGGGAUUUAGAUCCAAAGAAAGAUAAACUGGUGGAGGAGAAUAGAGGAUCUAUGAUGAAGUUUUGCUCUUUUGCCUUUUUAAUGGCCAACUCUCAUACAAGGUCAUGAACCUGACAUUCCGUGACCCUUGCAUUAACACUCUUUCUCACUACUUGAAUCAAAUUUCUAUUGAUUAACUCAUUCAAGUAAACCUCAGCCAUGUCUUUCAUUCUUCGGUCAUCUUGUUAUGGCACAAAACCCUCAACAGUCCAUAAAAAGAGCAGUUUUCUGGAGGAGAUCACAUAAUCUUCAGGGAAGAGGCUUAAAUGAAGAAAGCACGGUUUCAAGUAAUGGGGCAAGUCGAUGUAGCUGAGGUUUAGCAUUGCCAUUACUCCCAUUUGGCCUUCUUUAGCAAGGUAUGCACUAAUGUUAUCGUGCACCUACUUCCAUUCUGUAUGUGACAUAUUUCUUUACAGCAAACCCCCCAAUACAACGAUGGACAAGCAGAGCUCUCUGUUCAGUGAAUGGAGUUCAUGUUCUGGAUAGAAUGGGCAAUUCACUUUUUUGAAGAGAUAAAUUCACUUUUUUACAUUGAAAAGUUUUAUACUAAACUCAUUUUCCAAAGGUUAAGUCCACUUCUUUACCGGUGAACUUGUAUUUUUCAUUUUUAUACUAAUUACUUUUUUUAGAAGACAAAUUCUAUUAAUGGAUUGAUUUUUUUAAAAAUAAUAUCACCCUGCAAAAAGCCCAAACCUACCACUUUCAAACCAAUAACAAUAACACUUUUGCAUGCCAAGCAAAGCCUUCAAAUACAUCAUCCUAAUUGUCACUUAAUACACAUAUAAUUGUACAAACAAACAUCUAAUAAUUUGAUUCAACAAACUUAUAAGCACAUUGGUUUUAGUUUAGAUACAAUAUAAAUAUGUUCAACCUUGGUAUGACCAUCACUGAAAGUAGACAUUGCUAACUAUAAUACAUGAGAUUUUAAUAGCAUGGCAUUAUGUUUCCUUUCAAUCACUCCAUUAUGGAAUCAAGCAUGAGGUAGAAGCCCCUGGCAAAUCUACGGCAGUAUAAUCUUUCGGUCAUCGAAUCUGUUUGCAAAGAUCAAACAUACAUUAUAAACAAUGACAAUAGACAAAAAAAAAAAAAAAAAAUAGCCAAAAAGUUUUAACCUUUCACUUGUCAUACAUGUAAUUUCGGUCAAGAAGACUUCUUAGAAUGUUGAGAAAGUUGGCUAAUAUUUCAACUGCUUUCCUAGAGCUUUCUGCUGUUUGACUUGUUGCAACACAAAUCUGAGUAUCACAUGGCCAACUUUUAGGUACCUAAACUAAACAUGCAUAUAUGUACAAAGUUGUAGCAAGGAUCUCAGCAUUAGUUCAUAUAUAAUGAAAAAAAUUUCACCAGACUGGCAAUUUCAUUUUUCAAUUGGUUUAUGCGUUUAGAGUAAAAUCAUAAGAAGUAAUAUAGAUUUGUUAAGAAACUGAAAACUAUAGAAGUAAUUGAUUUCUCUUCAAUAAAAGCUGAAGUUAUUUAAUUUGACAAAAAAAAAAACUUGUUUUGUUGAAUCUAAUAAUAGGUUCUGAAGUGGGAUUCAUUAGCUAAAUAGAAAUUUCAGUGAAAAGAUCUUGGCUUCUCUCUGGCGUCACUAAUUGUUAUGCAGAAGAAUAAGGAAUAAUACUUGGCCAUGAAUUACUAGGCUGGCUUGGUAGAAAUCACAUUCAAGUAAAGGAACAAAACAUGCAUUUAUACACCCCAACAAUAAUCCAGGGUAAAAGUGAAUUCCAAACUUCCAGGCAUACCUUUUUCGCGGUAAAAUUGACCUCCAAUCUCACCAUUUAUAAAGAUUCUGAAAUGAAUAGAAAAAUCAAACAAAGCAUGUUAGCGGAAUAAAAAGAACAAUAAAAAAAUUUAAAAAAAAAAUCAUCCUUACAAUGUUGAAGAGAGAUAAUUUGAGUUGUUUUAACUUUCCACUGUAUAUUUAAAAUUAAAGUUCUAGUUUGUUCAAAAGCAAUGGAGUUGGGUAACCAUUUAAUGGUACUGCUAUUAUCCUAGUAUGAAUUGAAUAUAUAUAGAAAAAUAUUUGCAUCUGUUUUAUUUUUUUUUCAAAUAUAUAAUUGUUCUGCACAUGCAUUUAAAACCUAUCAAAUGUGCAAAAGUGAUGAAAUUGAAAAACAUGUGAGAAAUAGCGAUGCAUAGGGCUCAAUGUGUCUACAAAGAAAGAUGAAGUAUGGUCAUCAGGCCACUAGAUGGAUUUGUUUUAAUAGAAGAAAAGGUUACUUUCCAAAUUUAUAAAAAGAGAAAAUACAGAAUCCUAACAUGUAUUUCAUUUUCAAGUACGCUAUAAAUUAAAUAAAAUAAUAUUAAAAAUAUAGAAAGAGUAAUUAUAUUGGUCUUAUAAGUUAAUUCAAGAAGUGACGAGUAGUAAAAAUUGAUAGUUCAAGGGAUCUAAGUAGAUAGAUGAAUUUAGGUACCUUCUUUGAUGCCAAGGAUGAGGUGCCAAUCUGGCCAGAAGCCAUACAUCAUAAUAGGAAAUGGUUGACCUAUAAUGUUUAGCUCCACUAGCUUUAGAAGCCCAAUAAAUCCUAAGAUAUUCACUCGUUUAUGAAUUUGCAAUUGCUUAAGCCAUGGCAUUGCGCCUUUCCCUAUAUUCAACUCAGUCAAUCCUUGUAACUCUGAAAGUUGAAGUACUUUGAGUUGAGGAAACCCAUUUGCAGACACUUGCAUUUUCAUUCCAAGGUGUGCGUUUGCCCUUAAUCUAAGAAUCAACAAUUUUGGUUGCUUCUCUAAAACAGGCAUAGGAUCACAACCUAGCCUAGAUGCUUCCAAUGUCAAUUGUGUAAGAUUUGGUGAGAAUUCAACGGUUUCAAGCAAUUUUUGCAUGUGUCCCUUUAUGUCCAACUUAGAAAGAUGGAGGCAAGAGUUUAUGGCAAGGGGUGGAAUGCUCAACUCAUCUGAUGCCUUAAGGUACAAGGAUUUAAGACUAGGUAGCUUGGAAAUGGAGUUUGAAAACACAGCCCCUUCUACCUCACACUUUCCUUCUAAUUUCAAUUUCUCAAGACAAGUUAAGUUGCUUGAAUCGUUCUUGAUCCAUUGGUUGAAGGUUAUGCCUGAUAGAAUUUGAAGAUUUUGCAACGUAUGAAUUUGCAGUGGAACAUCUUCCUCUUGCCCCUCCAUGUAAAGAUAUCUCAUGUUCUUAAUCUUCCGUAUCACAUUUGACACUUGUCUAAGAUUGUUUAUCUCCAAAGUCUGAAAACUCCUUAGGUUGCCUAUAGAUGGUGGAAGCAUUUUUAGACCAGUAUGCCUUAAUCCCAAGUACCUUAAAUGAAUCAGUUCCCCAAUCAUACUAGGUAGGCAUUCAAUUUUUAAACCUUCCAAAUCUAACACUCUAAGCACUUUGAAGCAUUUGGCAAUGAAAUCUAGUUGUGAUGCUCUACAAUUUUUCCCCAAAUUGAAAAAUAAAAGAGAUCGAAGAUAUGGAGUUAAAUGUUCAAUGGAAGCGCACCUCUCAAAGUCAGAAUAAAUACUUCGUCGACGGGAUUUAGAUGAAAAGAGAGAUGAACUGGUGGAGGAGGGUGGAGGAUCUGCAAUAUUAGUUCCAAUGAAGUUUUGUUCUUUUGCCUUUUCAAUAGCCAACUCUCGUACAAGGUCAUGAACCCGACAUUCCAUAACCUUUGCGUUAACACUCAUUCUCACUACUUGAAUCCAUUUUCUAUUGAUUAACUCAUUCAAGUAAACCUCAGCCACAUAUUUCAUUCUUUGGUCAUCUUGUUCAAGCACAAAACCCUCAGCAGUCCAUAAAAGGAGCAGUUUUCUUGAGGAGAUCACAUAAUCUUCUGGGAAGAGGCUUAAAUGAAGAAAGCACGGUUUCAAGUAAUGGGGCAAGUCGAUGUAGCUCAGGUUUAGCAUUGCCAUUACUCCCAUUUCGCCUUCUUUAGCAAGGUAUGCACUAAUGUUAUCGUGCACCUGCUUCCAUUCUGUAUGUGACAUAUUUCUUGACAACAAACCCCUCAAUACAACGAUGGCCAAUGGCAAACCUUUACAUUUGUCCACCAUCUCUUCCCCAAGUUCCUUCAAAUCUGGAGGAUACCUCUCUCUAUCAGCAUCAAGGAACACCUUUCGACAAAACAAGUCCCAGCUCUAUUGUUUCGAAAGAAGCCGCAUUUCAUAGGGAAUAGUUCGAGCAUCUACAUGCAAAGCAACAUCCUUAUAUCGAGUUGUAAGAAGUAAUCUGCUAUCGUUACUCCCAUCGAGAAAAACAUUUCCAAGGCAAUUAGGAUCGUUACUGCUCACUAUUGCAAGAAAAUCCCAAUCGGCACAGCUCCAUACACCAUCCAGAACUAUCAAAUAUCUUUUCUCCUUCAAAUCAUCAUGAAGGAAAUCCCCCAACUCAUUCUCUCCAUACUUCUCUAUCAUUUCUGCUUGCUCUUUAGUUAGUCCAGAAACCUAGUUAAUAAUUUGCAUAUAAACCUCUCUAGGUCUACAAUCUUGGGAUACAUAAAUCCAGGCACGAUAAUUUGGAAAGUGUUCCACAAUUUUUUUCAUGAUUAUAGACCUUUUUGGCAAGGGUGGUUUUGCCUAUGCCGCCCAUUCCUACCAAAGAAAUCACGCGGUGCCUUUGGUCUCCUACGAUGAGCUGCAUCACUAGCUUAUCUGCCUCCUCUGUAAGGCUCACAAUGACACGUUCUUCUACACGAGGAGAGGAGCGUCUUAGAUGUUGGGCUUUGUGGAGCCUAGUUUUGUUUGAUCCGGUUUGACGACUUGACCCGAACAAUAUUGCAUGGUUUUUUAAUGGGAGAUUUACUGAGGCUUAGUCUAUGGAGCGAAGGCUUGAGCCGAUAGGCCCGUUUAGCCAAUUGUGGAACCGCCUUUUGUAAUUAGGAUUUUUUUAGUGUGGUGUGGUUGCUGUUUUAUAUAUAGAGAGAAAAAUAUUGUAGCCGAUAGUUGUACUAUGUAUUCUUCCCUGAUAAUAAUGAUAUCUCUACAACUCCGUGGACGUAGGCAAAUUGCCGAAUCACGUAAAUACUGUCUUGUGCGUGUGAUUGUUUUUCUUUGGCGUGUGUUUUCUCUAUUUUUUGUUUCUCACAGGUUGGGAAUUCGACUUAAUUCCCUUCAACUGGUAUCAAAGCCUAAGGUUAGGUUUGAGUGAGAGCAAUGGUAGAGGAAGCAGGAAAGGCGUCUGGAAUAGAAAAGUUUGAUGGCACAGACUUUGCGUAUUGAAGGAUGCAGAUUGAAGAUUAUCUCUAUGGGAGGAAAUUGCAUCUACCUCUUUUAUAGACAAAACCUGAGAGUAUGAAGGCUGAGGAAUGGACGCCUCUUGACAGACAGGUUCUAGGAGUUAUUAGGUUAACUUUGUCUAGGUCUGUUGCACACAAUGUUGUAAAGGAGAAGACCACAGCAGAUAUGAUGAAGGCUUUGUCCGGUAUGUAUGAAAAGUCGUCCGCAAACAAUAAGGUGCAUUUGAUGAAGAAAUUGUUCAAUUUGAAGAUGGCAGAGAAUGCAUCAGUAGCACAACAUCUAAAUGAAUUUAAUACAAUCACAAAUCAAUUGUCGUCUGUAAAAAUUGAUUUUGAUUAUGAGAUUCGUGCUCUGAUCGUCUUGGCUUCUUUGCCAAACAGUUGGGAGGCAAUGAGGAUGGCAAUAAGCAAUUCUACAAGAAAAGAAAAGCUCAAGUACAAUGAUAUACGAGAUUUAAUUCUGGCUAAGGAGAUUCGCCGAAGAGAUGCAGGUGAAACCUCAUGAUUUGGUUCUACCCUAAACCUUGAGACAAGAGGCAGAGGUAAUGACAGAAAUUCAAACCAGGGUAGAUGAAAAUCCAGAAAUUCUAAUCGAAACAGAAGCAAAUCUAGAUCAGGCCAACAAGUACAAUGCUAUAACUAUAGGAAAAUAGGUCACUUUAUAAGGCAAUGCAAAAGUCCUAAGAAGAAGAAUGAAGAAGAUUCUGCUAAUGUUGUAACAGAAAAGGUACAAGAUGCAUUACUUCUUGCAGUAGACAGUCCACUUGAUGAUUGGGUUUUGGAUUCAGGAGCUUUGUUUCAUACCACUCCACACCGAGAAAUCAUACAGAAUUAUGUUGUAGGUGAUUUUGGUAAGGAGAUGAUUUGGCUACAUGGUUUCUUAGAUGAAUUGGGUAAGAAGCAGGAGAUGGGCAUUCUACACAGUGACAGUCAAAGUGCAAUUUUUCUUGCUAAAAAUUCGACUUUUCAUUCAAAAUAGAAGCAUAUACAAACAAAAUACCACUUUAUCUGUUACCUUGUUGAAGAUAAACCGGUAAUACUUGAGAAGAUUUGUGGAUCUAAGAACCCGGCAGACAUGUUGACUAAGGGUGUCACUAUUGAGAAGUUGAAGUUGUGCGCAGCUUCAAUUGGUCUUCUAGCUUGAGGACAUGAGGAUGAGUUGCAGGGAUGAGGGAUUGUCUCUUGGAGGAUAGCGGUUUGAUGUUGGUGAUUAAACUAGUCUCUAAGUGGGAGAUUUGUUGGGCUUUGUGGAGCCUAAUUUUGUUUGAUCUGGUUUGACGACCCUACCCGAAUAAUAUUGCGUGGUUUUUUAAUGGGAGAUUUACUGAGGCUUAGUCUAUGGAGUGAAGGCUUGGGCCGAUAAGCCCAUUUAGCCCAUUGUGGAACCGCCUUUUGUAAUUAGGAUUUUUUAGUGUGGUGUGGUUGUUGUGUUAUAUAUAGAGAGAAAAAUAUUGUAGCCGAGAGUUAUACUCUGUAUUCUUCCCUGAUAAUAGUGAUAUCCCUGCAACUCCGUGGACGUAGGCAAAUUAUCAAACCACGUAAAUACUGUCUUGUGCGUGUGAUUGUUUUUCUUUGGCUUGUGUUUUCUCUAUUUUUUGUUUCUCACAGGUUGGGAAUUCGACUUAAUUCCCUUUAUUAGAUACUGCAACAUUUGACCCGAACCGCUUGUUCCUUCUCCAAUAUUUUUUAUUCCCAGAGCCUCCCGCCUAUUUGAGAUGUCUUGGAGGUUGAGUUGGAUGGCUUCAAUUUUCUUGCCAACCUUAUGGCGGUUUAUCAACUUCUUGAAGACACGCUUGAGAAAGUAAUCUGUUCUCCGGGACUCUGCCUUCAGGAUGAACAUGUCUAUGAUGUCCUCAACAUCAUAAACCGCAUCACGGAUUUUAGAAACCCACUUGUGCACUCUUAAAUCUUCUUCUUGCUUCUUCUCCGCUUCUUCCAAGAAGCAUUUCAUGGCCCCUAGAUCUUUGUUCAGCCUCUCGACUUUCCCCCGUACCCCCUUCAAGAAAAUUGCUUCUUGAAUGAGCAUGUCACCGAUCCUUUCGACAGCAAAGGAAAUCACAGCCUCUGUCGCCAUUGUAAUGCUCGCCCGCACACCCUCCUUGAAUUGAACUGAUACACUCAACAAGGAGCUACUCAGCUUACUUGAAAGUUUUUGUGCUCAAACCGAAGGUCAUGACACUUUCCUUUAAUACAAACAUUGUGGGGUUCCUUUCUUGUCUUGGAAUCAAACACCUUGCUUGCGCAACUAGUCGGAUUUGCUUGCCAUUGAUAUCAAGCCUAGAGGUAUACCUUACCUUUUGCAAAAGAAAAAGUAGGCCUGGAGAAGAGAACGUCUGCUUGAGUUUAAGCACAUGAUACUCUAGAAAACUUGGCAUCAAAGGGUGCUGAAGAAGGGAAUCCCUGUAAUCCGUCAACAUUCAUCAGCACAAGUUUCUUUGGAUUCCAUUCAGCUGUAUGGACCUUUACGCAUCCUUAGAGAAAAAGGGAAUCCCUUAAACCCAUUACCAAUUUGAAUUAUCAAUAACUGAACCAUGAUAUGCGAUAACACAGAAAAUAAUUAAAAGCUUAACAUCAAUACAAGAUUAUGAAUUUCAAAUUCUUCACCACAGGCUCCUUAAUCUAGAAAAUGCACUGUGCCAUUAAAAUGACUUAAACUGGUCUGGUUUCCACCACAAGAAGUUUUGAACUCAUUAAAAAUGAAUAAAUCCUUCUGGGAGGCAAAAAAACUGGAAAAUGAUCAAAAUCCCAACUUAACUAGCUGGCUCAUAGCUUGAUUGUAUUAUGCUUGAAACUGAAGGAACUCCUCUCGGCCCUUUAUUUUCUUUCAGUGCAAAAACCAGUAUGAGUGAUCAAGCAGCAACUUUCUUGGAUGUUACAGAAUUGACAAUCACAGCAAAUUCAGGACCCUGCACCACCGAAUACUAAGUUGUAAUCAUCAACUCCAAAAAGAAACAUUAAUAUCUUUAUCGAAACUGCUGGGGAAACCAAAUUGUGCCACUUAAUAGCCUCACUAACAGUCAGAUGAUAUUAUAAUUUUUCAUAGAAUGUGAGACAUUUAGGCCCUGUUUAUUUAGACUGCUAUCUGUUUUCACUUUCAGAGAAAACAUGUUCGGAAUGCAUUUUUCCAUUUUCAUUUUCUGGAAAACUGAACUCAAAAAAUAGAAAAAGCCAAAACACCAAUUUGAAUUUUUCAAUUUUUUUCUCAAGAAAACCGAACAAAAAAAAAUUGAAAACAAAAAAAGAAAUAAAAUCACAUAAACCUAGUGACACCUACAACAUAAGAGGAAUACAAAUAUUACAAAUAGGGAAAAAAACAACCUUAGAUUGUGAUUGUUUUCAAGGGUAGAUCUAAUGUUUCCAACUAGGACUUCCAAGUCCAAAUGUAAUCAUAAAUACCCCAAUAUAUAUUUUUUUGACUAUAUCACAAGGCAGAUUUAGCAUCCCAAGAAUCUUCCGCACAAACAAAAAAGGGAAAAAAGUAAGAAAAAAUAUACGAAAAGCAAUUUUUUAUCAUCACUUAGAUUUGUAAUUUGAAAAUUAAAAAAAAAUCUUUGGGAAAUACAGAAUUUGAUUCUACCAUACGAUUUUUUGAACUUCUUCAUUACAUUACAUUUCAAACUGUAAAACUGCUUUUAGGUGUCAAGAUUGAACUAGAGACUUCAACUCUCAAGGUAUUGUCUAAAAAAAAUCUUUGCAAUAAGGAUCAAAAAUGAAAAAAAUCCAGAAUGUUCUCAGUGCCUAUUCCCAAUUGGAAAGACAAAUUCUGUAUUGGUAUCUCAAGUCAAUAAACACGACUUAAACAACAAAUUCAUUAUCUACAAACUUACAUUUGCAAUGCUCAAAAAGCUAGUCCAGGGAACCAUGCACAGUCCAAAAGAUCAUUAACGGCACUAUUUGACUUACUUUUAAGGAAAGUUAAACCAUUGACUAAAACAAGAUUGGCUUCACAACCAUUACAAACAGGACAGUUCCCAAUAAGACUAGUUCAAUAAACACAUGGAAAUAAUGCUUAGAUGAAUUACCGAGACAAGAUCUUUAGGAUUCAAUGCCAAGCUUAAACAAGAAGAAAUCUCAUUGAUGUUUUCAAGCACUACAAUCAGCCCAAAUUGGAAAUCGGGUGCAAAUAUCUAAAAAGACCUUCAAAAAAGCAUCUUUCCAAAUAUAGUAAACUUGCAAGAAAAACAUUCACAAUGAAAAUUAAUCAAACAAAAAAAACUAUAUAUAAGAAACUCAGAAGAUACUAUAUAUAAUAAAAGCCAUAUAUAAGAAUAUAUAAUAAUUCAGUACGUUCAUUCAAGAGUUUCUUCAACUACGUGCAACUCCAAGCAGAGCUCUUUGUGCCAUGAAGGGAUUUCAUGUUCUGGAUGUAUCCCAAAACAACUAUUCAUUGGCAAACACAAUUUGUAGCAGGAGUUUUACAAUCAUAAAUGGAUGGUGUAGCUUGAUUCAGUCAUGCUCAGUUUGCAGAGAUCAAACAUGCAUUAUAAUCCUUCUGCUAUCCUCCCAUUACAAACAAUGGUAUUUGAAAAAUAGAGAGCCAACAAGUUUUAGCCAUACGUGUGGUUUUUGGGUAUUAGUAUUUCACAAGUACUUGCCUGGUCCUCAUUUAACCAUGUGUAAUCAGUGGCCAUGAUGCAGCUUUCCUCUCACCACUAAAGGUAGCUUAGGAAGGCAGCUAACUCUUCGACAGCCUGCCUAGAGCUCGCUGAUGUUUGACCUGUUGCAGCACAUGUCUGAGUAUCGGAAGUCCACCUUUUUAUGUAAUUGAAGUAAACAUGCGUACAUGAACUAGGAAUCUAAUAGUAAGUAUAGGAGCUUGGGCUUCUCUCUAGCAUCAUUGUUAUGCAAAUUAAAGAACAACGAAUAAUACUUGGCCAUGAAUUACUAGGCUGGGUUGAUUGAAAUCACAUCCAACUAAGGGAAUAAAAACAUAUAUACACACCCAACAAUCAUCCAGGGUAAGAGGGGGUUCCAGGCUUACCUUUUUUACGGCAUAACUGAAUUCCAUCGGAACCGCUUCCAAUGAUUAAAGUGAAAUAAAUAGAAAACCAAAUAAGACAUGUUAGCUGAAUAAAAAGAACAAUAAAAAGAAUUUUAAAAAAAAAUCAUCGUUAUAAUUUGAGUUAUUUGAACUUCUUACUUUAUAUUUGGAAAGUUAAUGUUAGUGCUAUUUUCCUAGUAUGGAUUGGAUAUAUAAAAUAACAUUUGCAUUUGUUUUACUUUUUAAAUCGGUCGAUGCAAUUAAGAUUACUACAUGUGCAAAAGUGAUGAAACUAAAAAAAUGUGUGUGAGAGAGAGAGAGAGAACGACAUAGGGCUCAAUGUGUACAAAUUAGAGAAGUGGGAGUAUGGUCUUAAAGAUUCCCAACAUGUAUUUCAUUUUCAAAUAUGCUAUAAAUUUCUUUUAAAAAAAAUUAUAAUUAAAAAAUGUAGCAUGAGUAAUUAUAUUGGUCUUACAUGUUAAUUCAAGAAAUAAGUGAUAGGUAGUAAUUCUAGACUUUUAUAAACAUAUAUUCUAUCACUUUUUUAUGUUUAUUGCAUUUUUUACAUUCAUUUAUAUAGGAAGGGGGGGAGUGAUCAGUGAUAUAUAAAAAAUUUCAGUAUAAGAACUCCUUAUCUGUUAAUUAAAUAACCAAUAUAUUAAGGUAUAACAAAAUUGGUAAUUGAAGGGAUCCAAAGCAGAUAGGUGAAGGUAGUUACCAUGUAUAAUCCCAAAGAGGAAUUCUAGACCUUCUGAACAUGAGAAGAAGCUGGAACCUGGGAAGCCUAAUUUUUACCUCUACCAAAUUUAGCAGCUCAUCAAGUCCCGAGAACUUCGUUUUAGAAUAAAAUUGUAGUUGCAUAAGCCAUGGCAUCGUGCCUUUCUCUAUGUUCAAUUUGUUCAAUUCCCUCAACCCAAAAAGUUGAAGAACUUUGAGUUGAGGAAACCCAUUUGCAGAUACAUGCAUUUCCUUUUCAAGAUAUGACUUAGCCCUCAAUCUGAGAGUCAACAAUUUUGGCAGCUUCUCCAAAACGACCAUAGGAUCAUGAUUUAGCCUAGAUGCCUCCAAUGUCAAUUGUGUGAGAUUUGGUGAGAACUCAAUAAUUUCAGGCAAUUUUUGCAUGUGUCCCUUUAUGUCCAACUUAGAAAGAUGGAGGCAAUAGUUUAUGGCAAAGGGUGGAAUGCUGGAAUCAUCUGAUGCCUUAAGGUACAAGGAUUUAAGACUAGGUAGCUUGGCAAUGGAGUUUGAAAACAUAGCCCCUUCUACCUCACACCUUCCUUCUAAUUUCAAUUUCUCAAGACAAGUUAAGUUGCUUGAAUCGUUCUUGAUCCAUUGGUUGAAGGUUAUGCCUGAU